AUACGGGGGGUGCAAGCGUUAAUCGGAAUUACUGGGCGUAAAGCGCGCGUAGGCGGUUUGCUCAGUCGGAUGUGAAAGCCCAGGGCUCAACCUUGGAACUGCAUACGAUACUGGCAAACUAGAGUGUGAGAGAGGAUAGUGGAAUUUCCGGUGUAGCGGUGAAAUGCGUAGAUAUCGGAAGGAACAUCAGUGGCGAAGGCGACUGUCUGGCUUAACACUGACGCUGAGGUGCGAAAGCGUGGGUAGCAAACAGGAUUAGAAACCCUAGUAGUCC
rnacentral:rRNA from 1 species